CUUCGGCAAUGGGCGAAAGCCUGACCGAGCAACGCCGCGUGAAUGAUGAAGGCCUUCGGGUUGUAAAAUUCUGUUAUAAGGGAAGAACGACUUUAGUAGGAAAUGGCUAAAGUGUGACGGUACCUUAUGAGAAAGCCACGGCUAACUACGUGCCAGCAGCCGCGGUAAUACGUAGGGGGCUAGUGUUAUCCGGAUUUACUGGGCGUAAAGGGUGCGUAGGUGGUUUCUUAAGUCAGGAGUGAAAGGCUACGGCUUAACCGUAGUAAGCUCUUGAAACUGGGAAACUUGAGUGCAGGAGAGGAAAGUGGAAUUCCUAGUGUAGCGGUGAAAUGCGUAGAUAUUAGGAGGAACACCAGUAGCGAAGGCGGCUUUCUGGACUGUAACUGACACUGAGGCACGAAAGCGUGGGGAGCAAACAGG
rnacentral:rRNA from 2 species